GUGCUUGCUUCAGCAACAUAUAUACUAAAAUUAGAAUGAUACAGAGAAAAUUAACAUGGCCCCUGCACAAGGAUGACAAGUAAAUUUGUGAAGAAUUCCACAGUUUA
rnacentral:snRNA from 1 species